AUAGAGUGACCCUGCCGUGGUGUUCGGGAAGACCGGUGACGGACCCAGUGGGUCCCAGGCCGGAGCGGCCCUCGCCACUGUGAUCGGGGAGUUUCCGUCCCUCUUCCGUAUGCGCGGCCCCGCGGAUACGGCGCCACUGACCGCAGCCCGCGGCCGGGAAGGCGGGGACGGGCGCGCACCACCCGUAAGCCAGGAGACCGGCCACGGCAUCUCACGAACU
rnacentral:ncRNA from 2 species